AUUCGGCGCGCUCCGGCGCUGCCUUAUUCACCCACCCUUUGUCUACGUGUACCUCCAUAGCUUCCUCGGCGGGCUCGCCCGCCGCCAGGAACCCCCGAAACCCCUUGCAUUAUACACGAAAACUUCUGAUAACAAACCUAAAUUAUCACAACUUUCAACAAUGGAUCUCUUGGUUCUGGCAUCGAUGAAGAACGCAGCGAAAUGCGAUAAGUAGUGUGAAUUGCAGAAUUCAGUGAAUCAUCGAAUCUUUGAACGCACAUUGCGGCCAUAGGUAUUCCUUUGGCCAUGCCUGUUCGAGCGUCAUUUACACCCUCAAGCCUAGCUUGGUGUUGGGCGUUCUGUCCCGCCGUUUUCGCGCGCGGACUCGCCUCAAAGUCAUUGGCGGCGGUCGUGCCGGCCCCUCGCGCAGCACAUUUGCGCUUCUCGGAGGCCCGGCGGACCCGCGCUCCAGCGAAGACCUUUCACGACUUGACCUCGGAUCAGGUAGGGAUACCCGCUGAACUUAAGCAUAUCAAUAAGCGGAGGAAAAGAAACCAACAGGGAUUGCCCUAGUAACGGCGAGUGAAGCGGCAACAGCUCAAAUUUGAAAUCUGGCCCCUUCGGGGUCCGAGUUGUAAUUUGCAGAGGGUGCUUUGGCGUUGGCGGCGGUCUAAGUUCCUUGGAACAGGACAUCGCAGAGGGUGAGAAUCCCGUAUGUGGUCGCCCGCCUUCGCCGUGUAAAGCCCCUUCGACGAGUCGAGUUGUUUGGGAAUGCAGCUCUAAAUGGGAGGUAAAUUUCUUCUAAAGCUAAAUACCGGCCAGAGACCGAUAGCGCACAAGUAGAGUGAUCGAAAGAUGAAAAGCACUUUGGAAAGAGAGUCAAACAGCACGUGAAAUUGUUGAAAGGGAAGCGCUUGCAGCCAGACUUGCCUGUAGUUGCUCACCCGGGCUCCUGCCCGGGGCACUCUUCUGCAGGCAGGCCAGCAUCAGUUUGGGCGGUUGGAUAAAGGGCUCUGACACGUACUUCCCCUCGGGGUUGACAUACAGGGGAGCCGCAAUGCGACCAGCCCGGACGAGGUCCGC
rnacentral:rRNA from 1 species